UAUUGCAAAAACGUGUAGUAAUACAACAUGAUCUAGUCGACGUUUCAGUCCACGAAGGACUUUUAUCAAGACAAUCUUGUCGUCUUGAUAAAAGUCCUUCGUGGACUGAAACGUCGACUAGAUCAUGUUGUAUUACUACACGUUUUUGCAAU